rnacentral:rRNA from 1 species
GACGAACGCUGGCGGCGUGCUUAACACAUGCAAGUCGAACGGAAAGGCCCUGCCUUUGUGGGGUGCUCGAGUGGCGAACGGGUGAGUAACACGUGAGUAACCUGCCCUUGACUUUGGGAUAACUUCAGGAAACUGGGGCUAAUACCGGAUAGGAGCUCCGGCUGCAUGGUGGGGGGUGGAAAGUUUCGGCGGUUGGGGAUGGACUCGCGGCUUAUCAGCUUGUUGGUGGGGUAGUGGAUUACCAAGGCUUUGACGGGCAGCCGGCCUGAGAGGGUGACCGGCCACAUUGGGACUGAGAUACGGCCCAGACUCCUACGGGAGGGAGCAGGGGGGAAUAUUGCACAAUGGGCGGAAGCCUGAUGCAGCAACGCCGCGUGCGGGAUGACGGCCUUCGGGUUGUAAACCGCUUUCGCCUGUGACGAAGCGUGAGUGACGGUAAUGGGUAAAGAAGCACCGGCUAACUACGUG